GAUGAACGCUGGCGGCGUGCCUAAUACAUGCAAGUCGAGCGAGCGGACGAGAAGCUUGCUUCUCUGAUGUUAGCGGCGGACGGGUGAGUAACACGUGGAUAACCUACCUAUAAGACUGGGAUAACUUCGGGAAACCGGAGCUAAUACCGGAUAAUAUUUUGAACCGCAUGGUUCAAAAGUGAAAGACGGUCUUGCUGUCACUUAUAGAUGGAUCCGCGCUGCAUUAGCUAGUUGUUAAGGUAACGGCUUACCAAGGCAACGAUGCAUAGCCGACCUGAGAGGGUGAUCGGCCACACUGGAACUGAGACACGGUCCAGACUCCUACGGGAGGCAGCAGUAGGGAAUCUUCCGCAAUGGGCGAAAGCCUGACGGAGCAACGCCGCGUGAGUGAUGAAGGUCUUCGGAUCGUAAAACUCUGUUAUUAGGGAAGAACAUAUGUGUAAGUAACUGUGCACAUCUUGACGGUACCUAAUCAGAAAGCCACGGCUAACUACGUG
rnacentral:rRNA from 1 species